rnacentral:rRNA from 1 species
GUGACGAGUUUGAUCAUGGCUCAGAUUGAACGCUGGCGGCAGGCUUAACACAUGCAAGUCGAGCGGAGACUUCGGUCUUAGCGGCGAACGGGUGAGUAAUACCUAGGAAUCUGCCUAUUAGUGGGGGAUAACGUGUGGAAACGCACGCUAAUACCGCAUACGUCCUACGGGAGAAAGCAGGGGAUCUUCGGACCUUGCGCUAAUAGAUGAGCCUAGGCCGGAUUAGCUAGUUGGUGGGGUAAAGGCCUACCAAGGCGACGAUCUGUAGCUGGUCUGAGAGGAUGGCCAGCCACACUGGAACUGAGACACGGUCCAGACUCCUACGGGAGGCAGCAGUGGGGAAUAUUGGACAAUGGGGGCAACCCUGAUCCAGCCAUGCCGCGUGUGUGAAGAAGGCCUUCGGGUUGUAAAGCACUUUAAGCGAGGAGGAAGGUUUUUAGGUUAAUACCCUAAAGAAUUGACGUUACUCGCAGAAUAAGCACCGGCUAACUCUGUG